rnacentral:rRNA from 1 species
GACGUAGGGUGCGAGCGUUAAUCGGAAUUACUGGGCGUAAAGCGUGCGCAGGCGGUUUUGUAAGUCAGAUGUGAAAUCCCCGGGCUUAACCUGGGAAUGGCAUUUGGGACUGCAAGGCUCGAGUGCGGCAGAGGAGACUGGAAUUCCUGGUGUAGCAGUGAAAUGCGUAGAUAUCAAGUGGAACACCAGUGGCGAAGGCGAGUCUCUGGACAUUUCCUGACGCUGAGGCACGAAAGCCAGGGGAGCAAACGGG